rfam:Hordeum vulgare subsp. vulgare, WGS project CAJW01000000 data, contig: morex_contig_136516
UUGAUACUCUCUCCGUCCGGUAUUACUUGUCUCACAAAUGUAUAAAAAUAGAUGUAUCUAGAACUAAAAUACAUCUAGAUACAUCCAUCCCUAUGACUAGUAUUUUUGGAUGGAGGGAGUACAUG